rnacentral:rRNA from 1 species
CGCCUUGCCAGCCCGCUCAGAAAUUUAAAGGAAUUGACGGGGGCCCGGCACAAGCGGUGGAGUAUGUGGUUUAAUUCGAUGCAACGCGAAGAACCUUACCUGGUCUUGACAUCCCGGAGACCCUUAGGAAACUAGGGGGUGCUUCCAUCUGGAAGAAUCUGGAGACAGGUGCUGCAUGGCUGUCGUCAGCUCGUGUCGUGAGAUGUUGGGUUAAGUCCCGCAACGAGCGCAACCCUUGCCUUUAGUUGCCAGCAGUUCGGCUGGGCAUUCUAAAGGGACUGCCGGUGUUAAACCGGAGGAAGGUGGGGAUGACGUCAAGUCCUCAUGGCCUUUAUGACCAGGGCUACACACGUACUACAAUGGCCGAUACAAAGGGCAGCGACACUGCGAGGUGAAGCCAAUCCCGUAAAAUCGGUCUCAGUCCGGAUUGGAGUCUGCAACUCGACUCCAUGAAGUUGGAAUCGCUAGUAAUCGUGGAUCAGCAUGCCACGGUGAAUACGUUCCCGGGCCUU